GUCUCCGUAGCGCAAUGGAUAACGCAUUGGACUUCUAAUCCAAAAAGCGUGGGUUCGAAUCCCACCUGGGAUG
rnacentral:tRNA from 1 species